UACGUAGGGUGCGAGCGUUAAUCGGAAUGACUGGGCGUAAAGGGUGCGCAGGCGGUGGGUGAAGACGGAUGUGAAAGCCCUGGGCUCAACCUGGGAAUGGCAUUCGUGACUGGCCGACUCGAAUCUGGCAGAGGGAGGUGAAAUUCCACAUGUAGCAGUGAAAUGCGUAGAGAUGUGGAGGAAUACCGAUGGCGAAGGCAGCCUUCUGGGCCAAGAUUGACGCUGAGGCACGAAAGCGUGGGGAGCAAAC
rnacentral:rRNA from 1 species